rnacentral:rRNA from 1 species
UACAGAGGUCUCAAGCGUUGUUCGGAUUCAUUGGGCGUAAAGGGUGCGUAGGUGGCGAGGUUAGUCAGGUGUGAAAUCUCGGGGCUCAACCCCGAAACUGCACUUGAUACUGCCUUGCUAGAGUACUGGAGAGGAGAUUGGAAUUUACGGUGUAGCAGUGAAAUGCGUAGAUAUCGUAAGGAAGACCAGUGGCGAAGGCGAAUCUCUGGACAGUUUACUGACACU